CCCUAAUAAUAAAUAUGCAAUUUAAUCAGUUUUGUGCACAAUAUCAAGUUUAUUUUUGCCGAAUUUAAUCUUGUCAAUGUAUGGAGUGUGAAACAUUUUGCUUGCUUGAUCAAUUAAGUCAUAAUGCAUUUUAACGCGUGAUAAUGGCCUUAUUUCAAAUUUGAGGUGUUAGGUUGACUUAUCGAUCAUAUAAGGUAUUGAGAUAAUCCAUUUCCAUCAAAAACCCUUAUUCACUAUAAAAUUCCGGUGGAUUAAAUCAUAAUCAUAUAUGAUUUAAUAGUCGAUUGUCCCUUUUAUUUGGAGAUGAGGCCUAGACGGAUGUCUUACUUUGUUUGGUCAAUUCCAUUAGCCCAAACACAAAACCAAAAAUAAUCCCUCAAUUACUGUCAUGAUUGGAAUUUGCUCAAAAUACAAUUAUCGAAGAGAAUCCCUAAGAAUUUACUACAAAAAACCAUUUUGAUCCAUUCAAGCCGCCAACCAGGGUGCACAUUUUUGUUGAAACCGUCUUAUUUAGAAGACCUUUAUGGUAAUCACUAAUCAGUGUGAUUUCCUCAACCCUAAGUGGAUCAUUUUGAUUCUUAAAGCGAAUUGAUUAAGGAUCACAUAAACCUUAGCCCAAGCAAAAUAAAACCCAAUAUCAUUAUCCCCGAACCCAAGUGGAAUUGGCCAUUUAAAGUGAGACAUUAGUCCGAACUACGAUAGUUUUGAUCCGAGAGUGGAUUCGAAUCCCAUGAUGAUCGGUACGUAGCGCAACUUCAAUGCUCAAACCUAUCAUGCGUUGAUAAUUUUAUUUUGGCUUAAUGAAACCUUUUUUAGUAUGCUUGCAUGUGUAUGACAACGUGCUAUGUGUAUUUAAUCUAAAUUCCUAAAUAGCCAUAUAUCAAAUCAACUAGAUAUUAAGUCAGAGUAAGAGCCUAUUCUUUAGAAUAGAAGAGAAGCCGAGUUCUAGACGUUCGAUUCUCUUAACCUAGACCCCGAACCCGAAUUUUUGAUUUCAAAAGAUCAGUUUCAAAGAGGAAAAUGCCUUUAUUUUAUGGAGUUAUUAAUCAUUUUCGAAAUUGCUUUCUCUAAACUUUUUCAUAAAUGGUUUUACAAAAUCCGUUCCCUGUUCGGAUAAAAAUAGGGUGGCGACUCUAAACCUUUUAUAAACAGUCUGAACAGACUCUCAUGUAGGAUUCUCAAGGUAAAUAAUAGUCGGUCGAGAAUCAGGUCCUACAAGUGGGUUUUGGACUUAAUAUGUAAUCGAUUAUUUAUAAACCUAUAAAUUAGUUUUAUGUUUUCCGCUGCAAAAUUCUGAAUAAGCCGUUACGUUUUCACACGGGCGAUAAUACUUUGAUAAUUCUCUAUAGCUAUAUUUAUAAAAAGGGUUAUUUUAGAAAAAGGGAAUUGUCGGGGUGUUACAAAGUUAUUUAAAUUAUUCCAAUGCUUUAGUGUAUGAGAGAUGGGUAAUAUAGGAAAGGGCAUAUAGGAUAGAAUUAUAUGUGCAUUAGUAGUAAAUUGUUAGCAUAAGAAGUUAAUUGCUAUGCGCAUGUGUUAAAUGUUUAAGUGUUGCAUGUAAAUGUGCAUAGAAAUUGUUUGAUUCCACCAAACUUAUUGUUUUAUUAAAUUCUGAUUAUGCUUUGGUUGGGAAAUCGUUAGUAAGAUCUUAAGUUGUUUGUUUCAUGAAUAAAAUGCUUCUUUCCAAGUGCACCAACAUAGGAUCCUUCGAGAAAAUCGACGAAUACUGAGGAUCUAGAUUUCACUUCACAAAUUUCCAAGGAAAGAACAGAUAAACAAGAUGCCUUAAACAUUUGAAGUUGUAAUAGUUAGUUAGUUCUUUUACGUUUUGGGGAAUAAGUAGCAAAACUACAACAGUUUAAAGUUAAAGCAAUAGAAGUUUGAGUUGUUCUUUAUUCCUUUCGAGGAUCUAAUAAACCUCUAUAGAGUUAGUAAUAAAAGUUAAAGUAUUCUUUUCAUUUUGAGAAUUCCAUAUUACUUCCAAGUUGCGCUCUAGGAUGACCAACAAUAAUGACCUAACUGCUGUUAUUCGCUUCUUGGCGGAAAAGCUUACCCUACCUUUUUAGAAAACCGGGUUGGAGAGUUUGAGAAAUCGUUUGGGGUUGUGAACUGUCCUGAGAAUAUGAGAGGGGGUCAAGUUGUCAUGUAUUUGAAAGAUGAAGCUGAUUUAUGGUGGAGAGAGAAUAGAGUUAGGCUUAGCGCUGCUGAGAUAUUCAAUUAGGAUUCAAUUGUUACUGCCUUAAGGGAAAGUUUUACCCUACCUUUUAUGAGAAAGCAAAAAGUUUAGGAAUUCAUAAACCUUAGUAUGGGGAGCACGACCAUACCUGAAUACUAUGCAGACUUAUAGCAAGACCACCUUAGGAUUAGGUGGGGAAACCUUUGUGUCUUUAGAUAUUGUGUAUGGGAGAGUUGCUCAUAUUUAUGGCAUGUAGUCCAAAAGGGACAAGAAAAUUGUUGUUGGGGAGAAAAUAAAAGAGUUUAAUGCUGGAGAAAACCAAAGGAAUUUCAAGAGGAAUAUGAAUGAGAAUAUCAAUGGGAAUGGAAAUAGAAAUAGAAAUUUUCAAGGAAGGAACAACCAGGGAAAUAACCACAACAAUAGGAACCAAUCUGAGAGAGUGUAUCACUGUAAGAUGUGCAAUAACAACCAUCACAAGGCCCCGGGUAAACUGCAUGUGAUAAGUCGAAAUGAAGCUGAACGACCUGCUGACUUAGUUUCUGUUACUUUUCUAUUAACUCCGUGCUAGUUAGAAAGUUAUUUGAUUCGGGGAAAGCUUAUUCUUUUGUUUCUUCAUCUCGUAUUAAGAGUCUGAAGUUAGUAGAUUUUGAGGUGAUUGAUUUACCUGUUAGUAUACCUACUGGUGUAACCUUAAGGUGUACCAAGUUAUUUAAGAACUUUCCUUUGAAGAUAAAAGAUUGCGUUUUCUUUCUGACUUGAUAGAGUUUAAUGGGAAACCUAGAUGUAAUUCUGGGAAUGAAUUGGCCAAGUUUUUACAAGGCUAAGGUAGAUUGUGAAAUUCCGAAAGUAAGUUUAAGGAACCCUAUGGGAAGGUUGACCUCAUGGGGAUGUUUUGAGAAGUCCAAGAACCUUUAGUGAUUUCUGUAAUGCAAGUGAGGAAAUUGAUGAAUAGAGAGUGUGAACUAUUUUUCUGUAGUGUGUUAGAGGUGAGUAAAGAAGUUGGAGUGAAAAUCGAGAAUGUUCCCAUUGUGAUUGGAUUCAUUUAUGUGUCUACGAGUGGAAUUGCGAGUAUGUCACCUGCUAGAGCCCUUGAGUUCAUUAUAGAGUUAAAUCCUAAAACGGCACCUAUAUCCAAAGCACCAUAUAGAAUGACACUUCCUGAAAUGAACGAAUUGAAGACACAGUUGCAAGAGUUGUUCGAUAAGGGUUAUUUUAGAGCCUAGUACAUCACCGUGGGGAGCUCAGGUGUUGUUUGUUAAGGAUAAAGAUAAGAGUAUGGAAUUAUGCAUCGAUUUUAGGGAGCUAAACACCAUUAAGAACAAGUAUCCCUUGCCUAGAAUAGAUGACAUAUUGGACCAAUUGCAUUGGGCGAGUGUGUUCUCGGAGACUGAUUUGGGUUUAAAUGACCACCGAUUGAGAGUAGCUGAUAAGAAUAUACUUAAGACCUCAUUAGGAUUCGUUGUUGUCAUUAAGGGUUUAGAGUAACGUCUUUUGGGUUAACCAAUGCACCUGCAUUAAUUAUGGAUUUGAUGAAUGAGAUUUUCUACGAAUUCCGAAUUAAGUUCGUUAUUAUGUUAUUGAUGAUAUCCCGAUUUAUUCAAGGAAUGAGAAAGAGCAUGACAAACACUUGAGGAUUACUUGGAGACGCUUAGAAAGAAUCUAGUUUUAUUAAAUGAAGUAUACAAAUCUUGAAGUGAUAUGUGUAUAAGUGACACCGACGGAAAAGUGAAGGACUAAAUUGAUUGAGAACUAUGUUACGUAAGGGAAUAAAUUUAAGAGAAGAUUUGAGUGGUCCAGGAUCGUUAGAAAUCAUUUGUUGUCUGGAAAAGAUGAAAAGAAAUACAUGAAUUGGUGCAAGAGCUAAGAGUUAAGCCCAAAAGUUAUACACCCAUGAAAACCGUAAUGAGGUUCGGUAACAAGGAAAAGUUGAACAGAAGGAGUUUCUGUAGAUCCUGCUAAGAUUCAAGCUGUGAGUGAGUGACCUACUCCUAAGAACGUGCCCGAUAUUUGAAGUUUUCUAAGCCUAAAUGACUAUUAUAGGAGGUUGUGAAAGACUUUUCGAAGAAAGCAAAACCAGUGACCAACUUGUUGAAAAAGGAAUCGAAAUUCAAGUGGAGUGAGAAAUGUGAAGAAGCUUUCCAGAUUUUAAAGGAAUGUUUGACCUCCGCACCUGUUGUCGUGUCAAUUGAAACUUUAUGAAACCAAUUACCCUACCCAUGACCUAAAGCUAGCUGCUAGUGCGUUCGCUUUGAAUGAUUUGGAGACAUUAUCUUUAUGGGGCAACAUUUGAGAUCCUUACCGACCAUAAAAGUCUGAAAUUUUGGCAAAAAGGUCUAGUGAAUCUUGGGAACGACAUUGAAAUGAGUAUUUCUUUCCACCCUGCAACCGAUAAACAGACUGAGAUUACUACAAAAUAUAUGUUGAGAUCAUGUGUUAUUAACUUUAAGGGUAAUUGGGAAGACCAACUAGAGUGAUUGAAUUUCUUGCAACAAUAGUUACUAUGCGAGCUUUAAGAUGGAACCUGUUGAGGCAUUGUGCGGAAAGAAGUGUAGAAAUCCCACUUGCUACGAUUUUAGUGGAAAUAUAGCAUUGGGGGCAUGAUUCGUUGAAGUAGAAAUAUCCAAAGUUAUUCCCUGGGAUGAGUUACGAGGGCGUAACUCGUUUUCUUUAAGGGGUAGAAUGCGAUAGAAAUUCGCGCUAUUUACCUAUUUUUAUGCAUUUUAGGCUCAUUAUUUUGCAAAUUAUACAUGUUGAUGCAAGUAAUUAGAUUCUCUGCAUAAGAAAAGUGUGUUCAUGAGUAACACAAACAACUUUAAGUUGGCAAAAGAGCGCACAUGAGUGGCACAAGUACUUCUUUAGUAUGAAUAAGUUGAAAACUCUUGAAAAAGGUGUGAAUUUCAGUGUCAAGUUUCGGGACGAAACUUCUUUUAAGAGGGGUAGAUUGUAAUCCCCCGUAAAUUUAUAAAUUUUAUUAAUAUAUUUUAACGUAUAGUUAUUUAUAUUUUAAAUAGAAUUUACGAAUUUUAGUAAUAAGUAUACAAUUAACGUUUAUUUAUUUUAUUUAAUUACAUUUUAAGUAUUUUAACGGUUUAUGAAAUCAAAAAUAAUUUUAGAAUUUUACGUUGAAAAGAAUUCGAAUUACGAAAAUACGUUCGAUUGAAUUUGGAAAAGCAAUCCUAACCGUUUCGAGUUCAAACAAACAAUAUCCUAGUUCUAGCCCAAAUUAUAAAGGCCCAAAUAAAUAAACCCAUAAUUUCACCCUUGUUACAAUUUCACGUGAAAUCCUCAAAACACCAAAACCUCUCCUCCUCCUUCACUUUCACGUAAAACAAGAACCCAUACCCUACCUCCAUUGGUGCGGCUGCCCAGCCGCCACCACCGCCGGCACUUCUCUCUUCUGUCGUCCCUCUCUGCCUCUGUACCGCUAGUAACCUUCUCCUCCUCCUCCUCUUGUUCUUCCUUUAUCUUUUUGUUUUAUCUCUCCCCUUCACUCUUGAUUCUGUCUGUAGCGCAGCCAUAACCACUAGCAAAACCGGCCGCGACGACCACCAGUGAUGCACUACCACGUCGCCUCCGCCGACCAACCGACACCAGCCAACGCUCCUCUUGUUUUCCCUCACGCUCUCGAAGCCCUCCUCUUCGUUUGCCCUAUUCUGCACGCACAAGUCAUUCGCAGCCGCGAGUAACCACCGCUGCGCCACCGGCCAGCCGUGCUCCGAGCUCAGUCCGUCGCUGCCGCGUUGUGCGCCGCCGCCCUGCCUACUUCUCUCCUCUCCUUUUGGUUGUUUCUUAUACUCUAAGUAAUUUAAUAAAAUAUUCUAAUUUUUUUUUGUUACCGAUUUAAGUUAUGUUUUAAUUGUAUUGAAUUUAGAAUUUUUGUAAUUAAAUUAGAAUUUUCGGAUUUAUAUAUUUUGUUUAAGUAAUAAAUUUAAUUUUCAGAUUAUAUAAAUGCAUUGAAAUAACGAUUUUAAUUAUUUGAAUCUUGAAUUUUAAAUCUUUAAUGGUUGGAAAUCAUAGUGGGGUGAUUAGGGAUUUUGAAAUUGAUUGUUUCAACGUUCUAAGAACGUUAAUUGGUCUUGGUGAAGUUUGUAAACAAGUUUUAUUGCUGAAAAUUUUAAAGUAUAAUGUUUGCGAAGAGUUUUCAACGAAUUUCAAUAAUUAAUUCAAUAAUUAUGAUGCUAGGAAAUCAAAUGUUCAAGUUUUAAUGUUAGGGAAUGUUCUAAAUAUGUUUAGGAUGUAUUUAGAAUGCUUUGUUAUUGUUGUGAGUGAUUAGAAGUUGAUUGGGAAUACUUGUUGGUUGUUUUAGGCGGAGAAUUCUCUUUAGGCGACUUUUGAAAGUGUUAAAGUGGCCUAUCAGUUUGUUUACACAAGUCUCUAAGGAUCAAUAAGCGUUGCCCAUCUACAGGUUUGAAGAUGAUGCAUCAUUGGGAUCGGGAUUAGAGAGCUUGUAGUUAUAUUUGUUUUGUUAAGUGAUGUGGUUUGUUAAUUUGGACUUGAAAUUUGUCGUACUAUUCGUAUUUCCUUAUUUCCGUUAAGUGGGUUUUGGACUUAAUAUGUAAUCGAUUAUUUAUAAACCUAAAAAUUAGUUUUAUGUUUUCCGCUGCAAAAUUCUGAAUAAGCCGUUACGUUUUCACACGGGCGAUAAU